GCCACGUUUUGAGGGGGGGGGGCGAAUUUCCUGGGAGGGGCGACCUUUUUAAAAAUUCUAUCUUGCCCCCCCAAAAUUUGAGUUUGCCCCUCAAAUGCCCCCCCAAAUUUGGAAGCCUGGCGCCGCCACUGAAACUAUGACGAAUGAGGAAUUAGUAAGGCCGCGUUUACACUAUAACGCUACGGCUAACAUUACGUUACAAAUUUACUACGUUUCUAGUAUUGAAAUUAUAUUGCAUGUGUAAACAAUAUAACGGAGUGGUUUGCUGUAGGUACGUAACUGCGGACCAUUACAUUUGCUACUCUGAGUACAAAUCAAUGUCGUUAAGAAUUCACUGGGUUUAGUAUUGUAUUUACAUUGUAGUCUGUUUUCCACUUCAAUCGUAUCGUAACGUACCAUAGCAUUUUCUUUUGUGUCGAAGUCAUUAGUUCCACACUACCGCUUAGGAAACAAAGAAAUGCACUACGUUUCGGACCUUUUGGUACGAUAGGAUUAAAGUGGAAAACUGGCUUAUAACAGACUGGUUUGACGUAGCCUAUCAAGUAUCAACUACGGACAACUACGUUUGACACUCUGGAUGCAAAUCACUACGCUAAAUUCGCCGUACCAUCAUAGAUGUAGACAUAGUGUAAACGCGACCAAAACUAAUUUUGUUUUGUUCUAUCCAGCACAAAAGAAACAUAGUUAUUUUAGGUGUUCAGCAACUUUAUUUUCUGUUUAAUUCUAAUCGAGUGUGAACUGACUAUUUAUCUAUGUAAUAUAAAG